rnacentral:snoRNA from 1 species
CGUAGAGCACGCGCUUGCGCAUAACUGGGCGUCUGCCCCCGCAGCGGCGGACCUUUUAAACGCGAGGCACACGG